GCGUGCGUGGCUUAGUGGUUAGGAGUAUUCGAUUCGCGAUCGUAAGGACGUGAGUUCGAUUCCCGGCAGCAUGUU
rnacentral:tRNA from 1 species